rnacentral:lncRNA from 1 species
CUGCAUCACAUGUUCAGCUCUCAUCAGUGGCUGCCUGACAGGACCUCACGAAAGAGGAGACACACACCUUUCCUGGAAAGGGAUUCCGACUGGACGAAUAACAUUUAGCAACUUUUAACAGCGCGCUUGGCUCUUGGCAAACAGACCACGGCCCAGGGGCCAGGCGUGCUGGGAGUGAGCUCCCCAAGGAGCAGCGUGGUGACAGAGGGCUCUCCUGAGUGCUUCCAUGGCCUCAUUAGCACCUCACUCACUGCUGGGGACCAGAGCACGAAGAUGAAAAGCAUCUUUACAGAGGUAAUUGUACCUGUGGGGAAAAGAUAGUUUUGGUUUGAAUUUAUUUUUUCCUUCCCAAGACAUAAAAGCAUUUUACUU